AGAAGAAGAAGAAGAAGAAGAAGAAAGAAAAAGAAGACACCAUCUCCUUAUGUUUUUUAAUGUUUACUUUCCCCCUUUUUUUCAUUUUUCAAUUUUUUUUAUUUUGGGGGGUUUUUUUUAUAGUGGAUAGGACCAGAAAAACAAAAACAAAAAAUAGAGAGGGAUUGAGUUAUAAAGAA
rnacentral:ribozyme from 12 species